rnacentral:lncRNA from 1 species
GAUUCUGUUUCAAAUCAAUAUUUGAUGUAAUGAUCUUUUUUUUAUAAAAUGAUUUAAGAAUGAAUUGAUAUCAAGAAUUAGAAUAUUGAAAUAUUUGAGGAUGAGAUUUUUUUAUCAUAAAUCUUAAGUAAGAAAUUAUGAAGACUUAAGCAAGAAAAAUUUCGAGAACAAUUUUUUUUAUGAAGAAAGAAUAUAAUAUCCAGCACGGAUAUUAAAGCUCAAUAAAAAAAAGUCAGCACAGGCUGUGCACGCGCUAGUUGGAAAGAAACAGGACUCCCAAUGGGAGUCCCUUCCGUGUGGUCUCUC